GAUGAACGCUGGCGGCCUGCCUAAUACAUGCAAGUCGAGCGAACAGAUAAGGAGCUUGCUCCUUUGACGUUAGCGGCGGACGGGUGAGUAACACGUGGAUAACCUACCUAUAAGACUGGGAUAACUUCGGGAAACCGGAGCUAAUACCGGAUAACAUAUUGAACCGCAUGGUUCAAUAGUGAAAGGCGGCUUUGCUGUCACUUAUAGAUGGAUCCGCGCCGUAUUAGCUAGUUGGUAAGGUAACGGCUUACCAAGGCAACGAUACGUAGCCGACCUGAGAGGGUGAUCGGCCCAACUGGAACUGAGACACGGUCCAAACUCCUCCGGGAGGCAGCAGUAGGGAAUCUUCCGCAAGGGGCGAAAGCCUGACGGAGCAACGCCGCGUGAGUGAUGAAGGUUUUCGGAUCGUAAAACUCUGUUAUCAGGGAAAAACAAAUGUGUAAGUAACUGUGCACAUCUUGACGGUACCUGAUCAGAAAGCCACGGCUAACUACUU
rnacentral:rRNA from 1 species